rnacentral:rRNA from 1 species
GACACGGCCCAGACUCCUACGGGAGGCAGCAGUGGGGAAUAUUGCACAAUGGGCGCAAGCCUGAUGCAGCAACGCCGCGUGAGGGAUGACGGCCUUCGGGUUGUAAACCUCUUUUAGCAGGGAAGAAGCGAAAGUGACGGUACCUGCAGAAAAAGCGCCGGCUAACUACGUGCCAGCAGCCGCGGUAAUACGUAGGGCGCAAGCGUUAUCCGGAAUUAUUGGGCGUAAAGAGCUCGUAGGCGGUUUGUCGCGUCUGCUGUGAAAUCCGGAGGCUCAACCUCCGGCCUGCAGUGGGUACGGGCAGACUAGAGUGCGGUAGGGGAGAUUGGAAUUCCUGGUGUAGCGGUGGAAUGCGCAGAUAUCAGGAGGAACACCGAUGGCGAAGGCAGAUCUCUGGGCCGUAACUGACGCUGAGGAGCGAAAGGGUGGGGAGCAAACAGGCUUAGAUACCCUGGUAGUCCACCCCGUAAACGUUGGGAACUAGUUGUGGGGUCCAUUCCACGGAUUCCGUGACGCAGCUAACGCAUUAAGUUCCCCGCCUGGGGAGUACGGCCGCAAGGCUAAAACUCAAAGGAAUUGACGGGGACCCGCACAAGCGGCGGAGCAUGCGGAUUAAUUCGAUGCAACGCGAAGAACCUUACCAAGGCUUGACAUAUACGAGAACGGGCCAGAAAUGGUCAACUCUUUGGACACUCGUAAACAGGUGGUGCAUGGUUGUCGUCAGCUCGUGUCGUGAGAUGUUGGGUUAAGUCCCGCAACGAGCGCAACC